rnacentral:rRNA from 1 species
AGGGUUUUACUGUCUCUUACUUCCAAUCAGUGAAAUUGACCUUCCCGUGAAGAGGCGGGAAUAAACAAAUAAGACGAGAAGACCCUAUGGAGCUUUAACUAACUAGUUCAAAGAAAAGAAACUUAACCACCAAGGGAUAACACUAUUCUUCAUGAGCUAACAGUUUUGGUUGGGGUGACCUCGGAGAACAAAAAAUCCUCCGAGCGAUUUUAAAAAUAAGACACACAAGUCAAAUUGAACUAUCGCUUAUUGAUCCAAAAUUUGAUCAACGGAACAAGUUACCCUAGGGAUAACAGCGCAAUCCUAUUCAAGAGUUCAUAUCGACAAUAGGGUUUACGACCUCGAUGUUGGAUCAGGACACCCCGAUGGUGCAACCGCUAUCAAAGGUUCGUUUGUUCAACGAUUAAAGUCCUACGUGAUCUG